rnacentral:rRNA from 1 species
CCUACGGGUGGCAGCAGUGAGGAAUAUUGGUCAAUGGGCGCGAGCCUGAACCAGCCAAGUCGCGUGCAGGAAGACGGUACUUAGAAUUGUAAACUUCUUUUGUCGGGGGAUAAAGGCGGAGACGCGUCUCCGGAUGAGUGUACCCUACGAAUAAGCAUCGGCUAACUCCGUGCCAGCAGCCGCGGUAAUACGGAGGAUACAAGCGUUAUCCGGAUUUAUUGGGUUAAAAGGGUGCGCAGGCGGGAGAUCAAGUCAGCGGUAAAAUGUCGGGGCUCAACCCCGGCCUGCCGUUGAAACUGGUUGGCUAGAGUUGGGUAGAAGUAGGCGGAAUUUGUGGUGUAGCGGUGAAAUGCAUAGAUAUCACGAAGAACUCCGAUUGCGAAGGCAGCAUACCAGGUCAAUACUGACGCUGAGGCACGAAAGCGUGGGGAUCGAACAGGAUUAGAUACCCGAGUAGUC